AACGAACGCUGGCGGCGUGCCUAACACAUGCAAGUCGUGCGAGAAAGUUCCUUCGGGAGCGAGUAAAGCGGCGCACGGGUGAGUAACACGUAGGUAACCUGCCCCCCAGUCUGGAACAACUAGAGGAAACUCUAGCUAAUGCCGGAUGAGACCACGAUCCCUUCGGGGGUUGCGGCCAAAGAUGGCCUCUACUUGUAAGCUAUCGCUGAGGGAUGGGCCUGCGGGCCAUUAGCUUGUUGGUGAGGUAACGGCUCACCAAGGCUGUGAUGGCUAGCUGGUCUGAGAGGAUGACCAGCCACACUGGGACUGAGACACGGCCCAGACUCCUACGGGAGGCAGCAGUGGGGAAUAUUGCGCGAAUGGGCGAAAGCCUGACGCAGCGACGCCGCGUGGGUGAUGAAGGCCUUC
rnacentral:rRNA from 1 species